GAUGAACGCUGGCGGCGUGCCUAAUACAUGCAAGUCGAGCGAACAGAUGAGGAGCUUGCUCCUCUGACGUUAGCGGCGGACGGGUGAGUAACACGUGGAUAACCUACCUAUAAGACUGGGAUAACUUCGGGAAACCGGAGCUAAUACCGGAUAAUAUAUUGAACCGCAUGGUUCAAUAGUGAAAGACGGUUUUGCUGUCACUUAUAGAUGGAUCCGCGCCGCAUUAGCUAGUUGGUAAGGUAACGGCUUACCAAGGCAACGAUGCGUAGCCGACCUGAGAGGGUGAUCGGCCACACUGGAACUGAGACACGGUCCAGACUCCUACGGGAGGCAGCAGUAGGGAAUCUUCCGCAAUGGGCGAAAGCCUGACGGAGCAACGCCGCGUGAGUGAUGAAGGUCUUCGGAUCGUAAAACUCUGUUUUUAGGGAAGAACAAAUGUGUAAGUAACUAUGCACGUCUUGACGGUACCUAAUCAGAAAGCCACGGCUAACUACGUG
rnacentral:rRNA from 1 species